UUCUCUUUUACGAUAUCCUCAAUUUCUCCUCUGCAUCUCUCCCCUGAUUCCAUCUCCUUCAAUUCUCCCGGAUUCUGGACUCAUUCACGCUUUGAUCCAACCCAAUGCCGGGAGAAUUUGAAGACGAUGAGAGAGCCAGGGUUUUUGAACCUGAAUCCUCUGAAGAUGAGAGACGCCGAACUCGGUCUAAAUCUCUUAGGAAGAGGGCCAUCACUG
rnacentral:misc_RNA from 1 species